AGUAAUGUCUGGGAAACUGCCUGAUGGAGGGGGGUAACUACUGGAAACGGUAGCUAUACCGCAUAAUGUCGCAAGACCAAAGAGGGGGACCUUCGGGCCUCUUGCCAUCGGAUGUGCCCAGAUGGGAUUAGCUAGUAGGUGGGGUAAUGGCUCACCUAGGCGACGAUCCCUAGCUGGUCUGAGAGGAUGACCAGCCACACUGGAACUGAGACACGGUCCAG
rnacentral:rRNA from 1 species